rnacentral:rRNA from 1 species
UUGUAACGGAGAGUUUGAUUCUGGCUCAGGACGAACGCUGGCGGCGUGCUUAACACAUGCAAGUCGAACGAUGAAGCCUAGCUUGCUAGGUGGAUUAGUGGCGAACGGGUGAGUAAUACGUGAGUGACCUACCUUUGACUCUGGGAUAAGCCUGGGAAACUGGGUCUAAUACCGGAUACGACCAAUCUCCGCAUGGGGUGUUGGUGGAAAGCGUUAUGGAGUGGUUUUAGAUGGGCUCACGGCC